rnacentral:rRNA from 1 species
CUGACGGGGGGGGACAAGCGGGGUUAGUUCGGUAAUUGACUGGGCGUAAAGGCGUGUGUAGGCGGUCCACUAAGUCGGAUGUGAAAGCCCUCGGCUUAACCCGAGGAAGUGCACCCAAAACUGGGUAGCUAGAGUACUAAAGAGGGUCGCGGAAUUCCCGGUGUAGAGGUGAAAUUCGUAGAUAUUCGCAAGAACACCAGUGGCGAAGGCGGCUCACUGGCCCGGUACUGACGCUGAGGUGCGAAAGCGUGGGGAGCAAACAGG